UAGGGAAUCUUAGGCAAUGGACGAAAGUCUGACCGAGCAACGCCGCGUGAGUGAAGAAGGUUUUCGGAUCGUAAAACUCUGUUGGUAGAGAAGAACGUUGGUGAGAGUGGAAAGCUCAUCAAGUGACGGUAACUACCCAGAAAGGGACGGCUAACUACGUGCCAGCAGCCGCGGUAAUACGUAGGUCCCGAGCGUUGUCCGGAUUUAUUGGGCGUAAAGCGAGCGCAGGUGGUUUAUUAAGUCUGGUGUAAAAGGCAGUGGCUCAACCAUUGUAUGCAUUGGAAACUUGUAGACUUGAGUGCAGGAGAGGAGAGUGGAAUUCCAUGUGUAGCGGUGAAAUGCGUAGAUAUAUGGAGGAACACCGGUGGCGAAAGCGGCUCUCUGGCCUGUAACUGACACUGAGGCUCGAAAGCGUGGGGAGCAAACA
rnacentral:rRNA from 1 species